UGGCGGUCGGCGUCCCCUUCCCGCCGAACUACAACUCCCGGCAUGCCCCGCGCCGGCCGUGAGCGCGGGCGGUGGGAGGAGACGGAGAGGCGAGAGGAGGAGGAGGAGCGGCCGCGCAUGUUGUCGGCGCCAUCAUGUACCACAGCAGCACGCAGAGGCGGCACUGGACCUUCCGCGAUGAGGACGAGCUGGCGCAGAAGCGGGCCGAGGCCAACCGCAAGUACCGCAGCAAAGCGGCGGCGAGCGGGAAGGUCCAGCCGACCGACCCCGUCCUCCUGGAGCCUCACGAGGAGCUAGCGAUCUGCAAGUAUUACGAGAAGCGGCUGCUGGAUUUCUGCGCAGUGUUCAAGCCGGCCAUGCCAAGAUCUGUGGUGGGAACAGCUUGCAUGUAUUUCAAACGCUUUUACCUCAAUAACUCAGUGAUGGAGUAUCAUCCUCGGAUAAUAAUGCUAACAUGUGCGUUUUUGGCCUGUAAAGUAGAUGAAUUUAAUGUGUCCAGUGUCCAGUUUGUUGGUAACCUUCGAGAAAGCCCUCUUGGACAGGAAAAAGCUCUUGAACAAAUACUGGAAUAUGAACUUCUGCUUAUUCAGCAACUGAACUUCCAUCUUAUCGUCCACAAUCCAUACAGGCCAUUUGAGGGAUUUCUAAUCGAUUUGAAGACUCGUUAUCCAAUGCUGGAGAAUCCUGAGGUUUUGAGGAAGACAGCUGAUGACUUUCUCAAUCGAGUGGCUCUGACAGAUGCAUACCUGCUCUUUACUCCCUCACAGAUAGCUCUCGCUGCCAUAUUAUCUAGUGGAUCAAGAGCAGGAAUUAAUAUGGAAAGUUAUUUAUCAGAAACUCUUUCGCUGAAGGAAAACAGAACAUCCUUAGCCGCGUUACUAGAUGGCAUGAAAUGCAUGAAAAAUCUCAUAAAGAAAUAUGAAUUGCCAAGGCCUGAAGAGGUUGCUGCUCUAAAACAGAAACUGGAGAAGUGUCACAGCUCAGAGCUUUCACUUAACACAAACCCGAAGAAGAGGAAAGGUUAUGAAGAUGAUGAAUAUAUUGCAAAGAAACCUAAAAUGGAUGAGGAAGAGUGGACUGAUGACGACCUGCUGGACUGAGUGUAACAGCAAAGGAAAAUGGAAUCCUACUGCUGCAGGAACUACUGUUCAGUGUAGAGUGUGCAUCUGUCUGCUACACGUUCCUUACUCUGUGUCACUAGCUGUAUCUCAGAGUGGGUUGCUGUGGCUAAUUUACCAGGGGGCAACUGAAAAGAAGAAAAAUCUUCCUAAGGAGUUUUAACAUCUACAUUUCACCGUGUGAGAGAUAAUGUACAAAUUAAGGCAUAUGGACAAGCAGUGACACACAGAACAGCAACAGUCUGGAAGAACACAGUAACUGCAGUUCCCUUCUGAACUACAGGAUCUGGAAUGCACGCAGUGACACAUGCGUGCUGCUGUGUAACUUCCAGUGAAGAUUUUUACCCCAAGACUUACCCCAAGCUCAUCCAAGAACAUGAUCAUGCGAUGCUUGUUGCUCUUGAUGAAAGGAUUUACCCCUUCCAUAUAUGGCUCCUGGUAAUUUUAAAAAGUAUUAAUUAGAACAAAUUAAUGCCAAUGUAAUUGGCAUACCUGAAGUGAAGACAGUGCAGCCAGACAAAUGACACUGCUACGCAAGUGUGCUAUCUGGAGUGAUUUUAUUUCUUCAGGUGAAUUUCUGCUAUCAAAAGACUACAGAAUUUGGUGUUGUCUUAUAUUCAGAAGAUUCAGAAUCUCUGAUUCAGAAGUUUUCUUUCAAGUGCAUACUGACACACAUUUGCCUUAAGAUGAUCACCUCUCAGUACCUACCUGCAAUGAAGAAAUGCUCAGUUUUCCAAAGGUAUAAUCAGAAAUAAGUGCCCUCUUUCUUAUGCAUUAACGCUCACAUUCCAAGUUAUGUGUGUCAGACAAAUAACUUUGUAAUGCCAGCCUGAAGUCACUUUGUUUAUGCUUAAGUCAACAGAUUUGUUUUUCAACCAUGUUUUGGCCUGGGAACUGAGACAGACCAGUUGUUGCCGGCACUGUCUUGGUGUUAUAAUAGAAUCUUUAUUGAGAGCUGGGGCUUUUUCAUGCAAUAUAUGUACACUUGAUUUACAACAUUAAUUAUGUCUGGCAAUAUGAAAAUGAGUAUAAAUAGCUCUACCGCAGAAAACACCCAUCUAAGGAAUAAAUGUGGGGUGAAAGCAGGUGAGGGGAAGAGUCAGAGGUUGGCAAUUCUUAAUUUGUUUCAGAAUUGGAUAAUCUACACCAAACUCAGAAUUUAGGCCUCAUUAGUCUCAAUGUGAAAGCUAAUUACUAUAUACAGAUGGAAGAUGUGUGUGGAAGGCAUUUCAAGGUUGUGUACAGAAGCACGCCACACAACAUCCUUCUCUCUAAAUUUUGAGAGAGAUGGAUUUGAUGGGUGGACUGUUUGGUGGAUGAGGAACUGGCUGGAUGGUCACAACCAGAGAGCUGUGGUCAAUGGUCAAUGAUUGGAUGGGCACCAGUGACAAGUGGUUGUCCAUCGGGGGUCCACACUGGGAUCAGAACUGUUUAGUAUCUUCAUCAAUGACACAGACAGUGGGAUUGAAUAACACCAAGCUGAGUGGUGCAGUUGACACACCUGAGGGAUGGGAUGCCAACCAGAGGGACCUGGACAAGCUCGAGAAGUGGCCCAUGUGAACCUUACGAAGUUCAGCAAGGCCAAGUGUAAGGCCCUGCACCUGCUCAGUAUCAAUCCUGGCUGGGGAAUGAAAGGAGAAGGACUUGGGGAUGCUGGGUAUGAAAGACUGGACGUGAGCUGGCAAUGUGCGCUUGCAACCCAGAAGAUCAAUCAUAUCUUGGGUUGCGUCAAAAGGAGAGUGGGCAGCAGGUGGAGGGAGGUGAUUCUGCCCCUCUGCUCCGCUCUGGUGAGACCCCCCUGCAGUGCUGGUCCAGCUCUGGGUCCUCAGCACAGGACACACAUGGACCUGCUGGAGAGGGGCCAGAGGAGCCACAGGAAUGAUCGGAGGCUGGAACAGCUCUGCUGGGAGGACAGGCUGAGAGAGCUGGGCUGUUCAGCUGGAGAAGCUCCAUGGAGACCUUCCAGCAGCCUUCCAGCACCUAAAGGAGACCUCCAAGAAAGCUGGAGAGGUCUUUUUAGAAUGGCAUGUAGAGAUAGAAGAAGGGGUGAUGGCUUUAAACUGAAAGAGGAGAGAUUUAGUUUAGAUAUAAGGGUGGCGAGUUCCUGUCCCAGGUUGGGCAGAGAGGUGGUGGAUGAACCAUCCCUGGAGACAUCCCAGGCCAGGCUGGACGGGGCUCUGAGCAACCUGAGCUGGUGAAGAUGUCCCUGCUCAUGGCAGGGGGGGCACUGGGCGAGCUGGAAAGUCCCUUCCAACCCAAACUAUUCUAAGCUACCACCAUCACUGUCACACACAGUAUGUAUCCUCCUGAUGCUUUCCCAUUGCAGAGUCCCAGUCUAGCAGUUCUCAGUGGCCUUUUUCAUACAGAUACGCCAAAAGAGAAUGUGACCAUUUAACCAUCACAGACACUUUGUUGUGGGAUUUGCUGCCUGCCUUCCCUCUCGAACUUCUCCACCCUAACGCAGAAAUACUGGGGUACGACUACCAGCUUUUCUGCUGCCAACGGAAAAAAACAAUGUUCCACAUACUUCCACGGUAGGCUUUAGAAAAACAUCUGAUGAAGUUGUCUGCGUUUUUGUAUUAUCAACUAUGGCUGCAUCACACUCGGUGAUACCUACUUGUGUGGUCAUUCUCUCAUCUGUUAUUUUAAGACCAUUACUGGUGUUUUUACUACCAGACUGGAAAUCUUCAUGGAAGCUACUAAGUCAUUAGUAUGAGUUUCUAGAUAGUUAAUGGCUCCUCUUCCCAAUUUGCCCAGACGUCACGCUACUGGUCUAGUUCAGAUCAACACCCUGUUUAGCUCUAAAUGAAGAAAGCACAAGAUACCGCACUAACGAGGCCUUCUUGAUGAUGAGGACAAACCAGGUGGUUUCAGGCUUUGCACAAGAAAACAGCAACAGAUUUUUGCCUGUAUUAACAGGAACAUUGAAAUGUACUGUAAGCAUAGUUCUAGGCUGUUAUCUGUCUGUAAAAGGAUAUUCACCUUAGCUCCAAAUUCAACCAGGUUUGCUAAAUUCUGCACAGACUUGGCGACCAGCGUCAGUGUUCUUGCAGCAGUGGGGGAAGGAGAAUCUGGUGGGAAUAAAAGUAGAGAGUUACUGACCAUUCCGUGUAAAACGAGCAGCAGUCACAUGAAAGUAAAGCUCUUCUCCAAUUCAUGCUUUUUCAUGGAAUAAAAUAUUUUUAAUAUUAUA